GGUAAUGGCGAAUGAAGGGGGGUGAGUGCAAGAUGGAAUCAGGGCUUGCCCUGGUGUGUUGUGUCGUGGCGUUGUGCCAGUUCAUGGUGCGAGUGGAAACCUCUUGGAAUUGAGUGCCUUGGAGAGCUACUGCCUCGGACACUUGCUCCCUGAGCGGAUGGUACACUGCUCUUGAGUCGCAUUCCCCGGUCACGGAGUGCUAAGUGUGUGGUUCCUCUCUCCCAACGCUACCUGGACAUGUGAGACUGACAGACGAGAAGUACCAUGAGGGAAGUGUGAAAAGGACUUUGAAAAGAGGGUUAAGAGUACGUAAAACAGCUGUGCAGGAAGAGAAUUCAAUCUGUGUCUGCAGUAAGGUUGCCACACCUGCUUGCUGUACUUGCCCGUUUCCAGGGUGUGUGCUUGCUUGCAAUGUGUCGUGAUUUCUCUGCAGCAGCCACGAGCGCGCAGCAAUUUGAAAAGAGGCAGCACAACAAUCUCCAGGUGAUCUUGGUGUUGUCUUGCGGCUGCUUUCAAAGACACUGCGUGCUCAGCGCUUGCUUUCUUGCAUGCCUUUGUGGCCUUGUUGUUUUUUCCCCGUCUUGAAACACGGAUCAAGGAGUCUAACAUGCGUGCGAGUCUGUUGGGGCAACCCCAGUUCAGGCGUAAUGAACGUGUCGCUUUGAGCUGUGCAGGAGCAACCGAUUGCUUGCAAUGAAGCUGUUUGAGUUUGGGCACAUGUGUUAGCACCCGAAAGGUGGUGAACUAUGCCUGUGGAGUGUGAAGUCAGGGGAAACUCUGGUGGAGGUUUAUCGUGGUAUUGACGUGCAAAUCGUUCGCUUGACUUG
rnacentral:rRNA from 1 species